AUUGAACGCUGGCGGCAUGCUUUACACAUGCAAGUCGGACGGCAGCACAGAGAAGCUUGCUUCUUGGGUGGCGAGUGGCGAACGGGUGAGUAACAUAUCGGAACGUACCGAGUAGUGGGGGAUAACUGAUCGAAAGAUCAGCUAAUACCGCAUACGUCUUGAGAGGGAAAGCAGGGGACCUUCGGGCCUUGCGCUAUUCGAGCGGCCGAUAUCUGAUUAGCUAGUUGGUGGGGUAAAGGCCUACCAAGGCGACGAUCAGUAGCGGGUCUGAGAGGAUGAUCCGCCACACUGGGACUGAGACACGGCCCAGACUCCUACGGGAGGCAGCAGUGGGGAAUUUUGGACAAUGGGCGCAAGCCUGAUCCAGCCAUGCCGCGUGUCUGAAGAAGGCCUUCGGGUUGUAAAGGACUUUUGUCAGGGAAGAAAAGGCUGUUGCUAAUAUCAGCGGCUGAUGACGGUACCUGAAGAAUAAGCACCGGCUAACUACGUGCCAGCAGCCGCGGUAAUACGUAGGGUGCGAGCGUUAAUCGGAAUUACUGGGCGUAAAGUGAGCGCAGACGGUUACUUAAGCAGGAUGUGAAAUCCCCGGGCUCAACCUGGGAACUGCGUUCUGAACUGGGCGACUAGAGUGUGUCAGAGGGAGGUAGAAUUCCACGUGUAGCAGUGAAAUGCGUAGAGAUGUGGAGGAAUACCGAUGGCGAAGGCAGCCUCCUGGGAUAACACUGACGUUCAUGCUCGAAAGCGUGGGUAGCAAACAGGAUUAGAUACCCUGGUAGUCCACACCCUAAACGAUGUCAAUUAGCUGUUGGGCAACUUGAUUGUUCAGUAGCGUAGCUAACGCGUGAAAUUGACCGCCUGGGGAGUACGGUCGCAAGAUUAAAACUCAAAGGAAUUGACGGGGACCCGCACAAGCGGUGGAUGAUGUGGAUUAAUUCGAUGCAACGCGAAGAACCUUACCUGGUCUUGACAUGUACGGAAUCCUCCAGAGACGGAGGAGUGCCUUCGGGAACCGUAACACAGGUGCUGCAUGGCUGUCGUCAGCUCGUGUCGUGAGAUGUUGGGUUAAGUCCCGCAACGAGCGCAACCCUUGUCAUUAGUUGCCAUCAUUUAGUUGGGCACUCUAAUGAGACUGCCGGUGACAAGCCGGAGGAAGGUGGGGAUGACGUCAAGUCCUCAUGGCCCUUAUGACCAGGGCUUCACACGUCAUACAAUGGUCGGUACAGAGGGUAGCCAAGCCGCGAGGUGGAGCCAAUCUCACAAAACCGAUCGUAGUCCGGAUUGCACUCUGCAACUCGAGUGCAUGAAGUCGGAAUCGCUAGUAAUCGCAGGUCAGCAUACUGCGGUGAAUACGUUCCCGGGUCU
rnacentral:rRNA from 1 species